AUUGAACGCUGGCGGCAUGCCUUACACAUGCAAGUCGAACGGUAACAGGUCUUCGGAUGCUGACGAGUGGCGAACGGGUGAGUAAUACAUCGGAACGUGCCUAGUAGUGGGGGAUAACUACUCGAAAGAGUGGCUAAUACCGCAUGAGAUCUACGGAUGAAAGCAGGGGAUCGCAAAACCUUGUGCUACUAGAGCGGCCGAUGGCAGAUUAGGUAGUUGGGGGGAUAAAAGCUUACCAAGCCGACGAGCUGUAGCUGGUCUGAGAGGACGAUCGGCCACACUGGGACUGAGACACGGCCCAGACUCCUACGGGAGGCAGCAGUGGGGAAUUUUGGACAAUGGGCGAAAGCCUGAUCCAGCAAUGCCGCGUGCAGGAUGAAGGCCUUCGGGUUGUAAACUGCUUUUGUACGGAACGAAAAGCCCCGGGUUAAUACCCUGGGGUCAUGACGGUACCGUAAGAAUAAGCACCGGCUAACUACGUGCCAGCAGCCGCGGUAA
rnacentral:rRNA from 1 species